rnacentral:rRNA from 1 species
CACAAGCGGUGGAUGAUGUGGAUUAAUUCGAUGCAACGCGAAGAACCUUACCUACCCUUGACAUGUCCGGAACUUGCCAGAGAUGGCUUGGUGCCCGAAAGGGAAUCGGAACACAGGUGCUGCAUGGCUGUCGUCAGCUCGUGUCGUGAGAUGUUGGGUUAAGUCCCGCAACGAGCGCAACCCUUAUCAUUAGUUGCUACGCAAGGGCACUCUAAUGAGACUGCCGGUGACAAACCGGAGGAAGGUGGGGAUGACGUCAAGUCCUCAUGGCCCUUAUGGGUAGGGCUUCACACGUCAUACAAUGGUCGGUACAGAGGGUUGCCAAGCCGCGAGGCGGAGCCAAUCCCACAAAGCCGAUCGUAGUCCGGAUUGUUCCCUGCAACUCGAGAGCAUGAAGUCGGAAUCGCUAGUAAUCGCAGGUCAGCAUACUGCGGUGAAUACGUUCCCGGGUCUU